UACGUAGGGGGCAAGCGUUGUCCGGAAUCAUUGGGCGUAAAGAGCGUGUAGGCGGCUUCGUCAGUCCGUUGUGAAAGUCCAGGGCUCAACCCUGGAAUGCCGAUGGAUACUGCGGAGCUAGAGUCCGGAAGAGGCGAGUGGAACUCCUGGUGUAGCGGUGAAAUGCGCAGAUAUCAGGAGGAACACCUAUGGCGAAGGCAGCUCGCUGGGACGGCACUGACGCUGAGACGCGAAAGCGUGGGGAGCAAACAGG
rnacentral:rRNA from 1 species